CCAGUUUCUCCCUUACAUCCCAGUCCAGCCCCAGCCUCUGAAGUUCUCUCUCUACAUUAUGGAUCUGAUCAUAGCACACCUGCUUUACAGAUGUCCAAGCCACCUCCAUGGACCUACCCUGGCUAGUGUUGUGCUGGGAGCCACUGGGGACCCCAGGCCCUGGCCUGUCCAUACUUCUCAGCCACCCUACACAGGCCACCCACACGUGCUGCCUUUUAGGGCCUGAACCUUCAAAGGCUCCUCUCUGAGAUAUUCCCUGGUUCUGCCUUUCAGAUAUCACUCCCUGCUUGGAGCUCCACACCCUUUAUAAAUGUUCAUUGAAGUUAUCUAUACGGUGUGUUAA